GAUGAAGAACGUAGCGAAAUGCGAUACUUGGUGUGAAUUGCAGAAUCCCGUGAACCAUCGAGUCUUUGAACGCAAGUUGCGCCCGAAGCCAUUAGGCCGAGGGCACGCCUGCCUGGGUGUCACACGUCGUUGCCCCCCCAUCUACUCCUUCGGGAUUGCGGGGGGCGGAUGAUGGCCUCCCGUGCGCCUCGUCGCGCGGUUGGCAUAAAUGCCAAGUCCUCGGCGACGCACGCCACGACAAUCGGUGGUUGCGAAACCUCGGUUGCCCGUCGUGUGCGGUCGUCGCGCAUCGAGGGCUCGAAAAAAUUGCCGGGCUCCGGCUCGGCUUUCAACGCGACCCCAGGUCAGGCGGGGUUACCCGCUGAAUUUAAGCAUAUCAAUGCGGAGGA
rnacentral:misc_RNA from 1 species